rnacentral:rRNA from 1 species
UACGGGGGGGGCAAGCGUUGUUCGGAAUUACUGGGCGUAAAGGGCGCGUAGGCGGCCGGUCAAGUCGGGGGUGAAAGCCUGUGGCUCAACCACAGAAUGGCCUUCGAUACUGUUUGGCUUGAGACCGGAAGAGGUCAGUGGAACUGCGAGUGUAGAGGUGAAAUUCGUAGAUAUUCGCAAGAACACCAGUGGCGAAGGCGGCUGACUGGUCCGGUUCUGACGCUGAGGCGCGAAAGCGUGGGGAGCAAACAGG